ensembl:lncRNA
UAGUGGUUGGGGUGAGAGAGAUAGUGGUUGGGGUGAGAGAUAGAGAGUGGUUGGGGUGAGAGAAAGAGAGUAGUUGGGGUGAGAGAGAGAGAGUGGUUGGGGUGAGAGAGAUAGAUAGUGGUUGGGGUGAGAGAGAUAGUGGUUGGGGUGAGAGAGAGAUAGUGGUUGGGGUGAGAGAUAUAGAGAGUGGUUGGGGUGAGAGAGAUAGAUAGUGGUUGGGGUGAGAGAGAUAGUGGUUGGGGUGAGAGAGAGAUAGUGGUUGGGGUGAGAGAUAGAUAGUGGUUGGGGUGAGAGAGAGAUAGUGGUUGGGGUGAGAGAGAGAUAGUGGUUGGGGUGAGAGAAAGAGAGUGGUUGGGGUGAGAGAGAGAUAGUGUGGUUAGGGUGAGAGAGAGAAAUAGUGGUUGGGGUGAGAGAGAGAUAGUGGUUGGGGUGAGAGAUAGAUAGUGGUUGGGGUGAGAGAUAGAUCGUGGUUGGGGUGAGAGAUAGAUAGUGGUUGGGGUGAGAGAUAGAUAGUAGUUGGGGUGAGAGAUAGAUAGUGGUUGGGGUGAGAGAUAGAGAGUGGUUGGGGUGAGAGAGAUAGUGGUUGGGGUGAGAGAGAGAGAUAGAUAGUAGUUGUUGUGAGAGAUCGAUAGUGGUUGGGAUGAGAGAUAGAUAGUGGUUGGGGUGAGAGAUAGAUAGUAGUUGGGGUGAGAGAUAGAUAGUGUUUGGGGUGAAAGAGAGAUAGUGGUUGGGGUGAGAGAGAUAGUGGUUGGGGUGAGAGAGAUAGAUAGUAUUUGGGGUGAGAGAUAGAUAGUAGUUGGGGUGAGAGAUAGAUAGUGGUUGGGGUGAGAGAUAAAUAGUAGUUGGGGUGAGAG